GCUAGGUGGGGGCCAGACGGGGGGGUAAGAGGGGGGGGGGAAGUGGUGGACGGGAUUACUGGGCGUAAAGGGGUCGUAGGUGGCCAACUAAGUCAGGCGUGGAAUCGCUCGGCGUAUCCGGGGAACUGCGUCUGAUACGGGAUGGCUUGAGGUUGGGAGAGGGAUGCGGAAUUCCAGGUGUAGCGGUGAAAUGCGUAGAUAUCUGGAGGAACACCGGUGGCGAAGGCGGCAUCCUGGACCAAUUCUGACGCUGAGGAGCGAAAGCCAGGGGAGCAAACGGGAUUAGAUACCCUAGUAGUC
rnacentral:rRNA from 1 species